GAGUUUGAUCGUGGCUCAGGACGAACGCUGGCGGCGUGCCUAAUACAUGCAAGUCGAGCGGAUCUUCAUUAGCUUGCUUUUGAAGAUCAGCGGCGGACGGGUGAGUAACACGUGGGCAACCUGCCUGUAAGACUGGGAUAACUUCGGGAAACCGGAGCUAAUACCGGAUGAUCCUUUUCCUCUCAUGAGGAAAAGCUGAAAGACGGUUUCGGCUGUCACUUACAGAUGGGCCCGCGGCGCAUUAGGCUAGUUGGUGAGGUAACGGCUCACCAAGGCGACGAUGCGUAGCCGAUCUGAGAGGGUGAUCGGCCACACUGGGACUGAGACACGGCCCAGACUCCUACGGGAGGCAGCAGUAGGGAAUCUUCCGCAAUGGACGAAAGUCUGACGGAGCAACGCCGCGUGAGCGAUGAAGGCCUGGUCGUAAGCUCUAGUUGUCAGGAGAACGAAGUAUCGGAGC
rnacentral:rRNA from 1 species